rnacentral:rRNA from 1 species
ACUACGGGUGGCAGCAGUGAGGAAUAUUGGUCAAUGGGCGGAAGCCUGAACCAGCCAAGUAGCGUGCAGGAUGACGGCCCUACGGGUUGUAAACUGCUUUUAUACGGGAAUAACGCGCCUUACGUGUAGGGCUUUGCAUGUACCGUAUGAAUAAGGACCGGCUAAUUCCGUGCCAGCAGCCGCGGUCAUACGGAAGGUCCGGGCGUUAUCCGGAUUUAUUGGGUUUAAAGGGAGCGUAGGCCGCAUGUCAAGCGUGCUGUGAAAUGUCCGGGCUCAACCCGGGCCUUGCAGCGCGAACUGGCGUGCUUGAGUCCGCGGAAAGCAGGCGGAAUUCGUCGUGUAGCGGUGAAAUGCUUAGAUAUGACGAAGAACCCCGAUUGCGAAGGCAGCUUGCUGCAGCGGAACUGACGCUGAUGCUCGAAAGCGCGGGUAUCGAACAGGAUUAGAUACCCCUGUAGUC